CCUACGGUGGGCAGCAGUGAGGAAUAUUGGUCAAUGGGCGUAAGCCUGAACCAGCCAAGUCGCGUGAGGGAUGAAGGUUCUAUGGAUCGUAAACCUCUUUUAUAAGGGAAUAAAGUGUGGGACGUGUCCUAUUUUGUAUGUACCUUAUGAAUAAGGAUCGGCUAACUCCGUGCCAGCAGCCGCGGUAAUACGGAGGAUGCGAGCGUUAUCCGGAUUUAUUGGGUUUAAAGGGUGCGUAGGCGGACAGUCAAGUCAGCGGUAAAAAUGCGGUGCUCAACGCCGUACAGCCGUUGAAACUGGCAGUCUUGAGUGGGCGAGAGGUAUGCGGAAUGCGUGGUGUAGCGGUGAAAUGCAUAGAUAUCACGCAGAACUCCGAUUGCGAAGGCAGCAUACCGGCGCCCGACUGACGCUGAGGCACGAAAGCGUGGGUAUCGAACAGGAUUAGAUACCCCAGUAGUC
rnacentral:rRNA from 1 species